UUCUCCGAGCCACCGACCGAUUUCAGUUUUGCAGCAUCGUCAUCAGCUAUGGCGGUAUUGAUCUCCGUCUCCUCUACAAUCGUGCCCUCGUUGGUCAAAUGCUCACCUGCUGGCCGGUAUUCCGUCGCCAGCUUCAAUUUCAGUGACACUUUGUUUUCUCGAGAUGAGAUUCUUGAAAACCGGCUCAAAACGUGGAUUUGCUUCACACAAACUCAAAUCAACCGCUCCUACUCAGCGCCUCGCUACAUGCACGACGUGAACUCUUUCAAUCCGCACCAUAAACCGUUUCAAAAAUAAGAUUAUUCUUUUUUUUGUAAAUAAUUUUUUCAAGUUGGUUAGUUUAAACUUUAAGCGGUGAGUGAUCUGAUUUCAACGCCAUUUUCAGUCACGACCGUAGCGAUUCUUCCAAUUUGGGAUGAAUGGGAUUGAAAAUGUUUCUUGCUCGAGGAGUAAUCUUCUUUACUGUAGCAGCUAGAGGUGUUUCUAGAUCUUCUAAUUGCGUCAUUAUUUGUUUCAGUUACCGUAACUAGAAUUUGUUCUAUCAUUCUAUUAGUGUUACAUGGUUUUAUGUAUAGUCCGGUGAUAGAUCACGAGUGACGGAAGCAAUCCUAAACUGCAGCUGGAAUAACCUGUGUAGCGGAGAUGACGAUCCUACAUAGAAUUCUGAUGAUUUUUAGCUGUAGUUCCACAUUGGCUGUGAAUUUGUGCAGCUGUCUGAGGGUGAUCGUUUGCCUCCACUCAUUUUGAGAGACCAAGAUGGUUGAGAGGUUAAGUUGUCUAAGUUUGCAGUCCUACCUCUAAUUCUGAACUUCUAUCUAGCCAAUGAGAGUCCUAGCUGAGUGAAGCAUGCAAUUUGUGUACAACUCGGUUCUGCAGCCACAAUUCAUUUAUAAUUGACAGAAUUGGUAUGAAGCAGUAGAACACGGUAUUAUUUUUCAAAAACAAUAUUUGCAAAGUUUACCAGUAUGGCUCAUUUUUAGAACAGUUGUGUAUUAUAAGUAUCUGUAAGAGAAACAAUUAUCCAUCUUGAGUAUGUGUAUCCUUGUUUUACCCACAUAUAAGACAUCUGGAGUUUU
rnacentral:lncRNA from 1 species